CACAGCCAUUUGUGGGAUUUUACUGCACGCUAACAGAGCAUCCAGCUCCUGGCUAUCAAUGCGUAAGGCUCUAGGGACCAGGUAACACGUGCAAAAUAAACUGCUACGGCAUUGAAGCAGAGAUAUCAGUCAUUGCCACUUUCAGCUCUUGUUGCUAAGUGGUCCCAAAUGGCACCAUAGUUCUUGCAUGAAUCCACUGGAAGAGUCACUUCUGGGGAGGAAUGGCUCUGGGAACUGCACAGCUCCCAGCACACAUAGGUUGCGUUUGUUGGGAGCAAUGCAUUGUGAGAACACCAAUGUGAUGUCACCUCCUCCUUCAUCAGUUGUGAUGUUCCAGGCCCACCGCAGCCAUCGCGUGCAUCAGGGAGAUCUGUUCGUUGGCUUCAGCAUGGAUACAGGGAGAAGGAAAACACCAGGAGAGCUGUUAGAUAUGCCCAGCUCUUCAGACACCAUUACCAGGGACUUCGUGAGAGCCUCCUCACGGUUUUCCCUCUCUCUCACACUCACCUUUGUGCAGUGGAAGUCAACAGCAAAGAGAAGCCAUAGAGGAAGAGGCGGUGAAAAGAAGCAGCAGAAGGGGAAGAAGCACAUGCCAGGAGGAUGACAAACGUCUGAAGGAUAAGCAAGCUGAGCCAUUCUAGGCAAGUGUCUUUCUAUAACAUCUGGAUCCUAGCUGAAAGCUGCCAAUUUUGUACCCAUUUAGGCUCACGUCUGCCUAGCAGUUUGCUUAGACACCAGUGCACUUCUGUAGCAACACUGACAAAAACUACCUGGUUUGCCCUUUUUGUUUUGAUUUGUUUUAAGUGGGAGGGAAUUAAUUUCUUCUCUCUGAGUAAUUUUGAAAUGAGGACAAUACAUUGCAGUGGACCCAUGUGCUUAGGAAAGGAAUGAAACUCAAAGAGCAGUAGCAUGUACAAUUGCAAGUAAGACAAAACUACACGCAUCCACUGAAGACAUAAAGUCAAUGCACUGAUUCUUAUCACAAUGUCUAGGUAUUUAGCAACUUUUAUCUUCCUUCCCUACAUAAUCUUAUCUGUAAUUUACGUUACUUUUUCUGUGGCUGACCUCAUUAAAAGCUCUUUCAGCAGCUCUGGGAACAGAGAGGUUAAUGUUGGUCCUUCAAAGAGUGAUUCAACAAGUGUUGUUAGAGCUGCUUCCACAUGUGGAUCUGAUACAAUGAUUGCUCAUUGUGUUGGUUAUCCCUAUGAAAUGUGUUUGCAUCAGGUGUCCCAGUGAGAGGUGGCCUUGGUGAGCUAACAGCUGUAGCAUUGCUUCAAGAGCAGUCUGGUGCCAAAAGCUUGAAACUAAGGAGAAAAGAAUACAGGAAAGAGAGAAAGGGACAGUUACUCUUGUUGUAUAUUGGAAGACCAGAGGGGCAAAAGGAUUGAAGUUCUUCUGUAGUGGUUGACAAGGCAUACAUCUUCAAGUCGAGAGCUGAGUUCAGAUCCAAGUGCUGGCCUUUCUGGAGCACAGCCACAGUCAAUUUGUCCACAUAACCAAUGUGGUAAAUCCUUUGAGAGCUUUUGUUCCAUUCAGACAGAAAACUCCCCCUCUCACCUCCGCAUUGCAGCCCGAAACCUUCAUAGCAUCACAUGAAAGUAUCC
ensembl:lncRNA